rnacentral:rRNA from 1 species
AACGAACGCUGGCGGCAGGCUUAACACAUGCAAGUCGAACGCAUCGCAAGAUGAGUGGCAGACGGGUGAGUAACGCGUGGGAACAUACCCUUUUCUACGGAAUAGCUCUGGGAAACUGGAAUUAAUACCGUAUACGCCCUACGGGGGAAAGAUUUAUCGGGGAAGGAUUGGCCCGCGUUGGAUUAGCUAGUUGGUGGGGUAAGGGCCUACCAAGGCGACGAUCCAUAGCUGGUCUGAGAGGAUGAUCAGCCACAUUGGGACUGAGACACGGCCCAAAAUCAUACGGGAGGCAGCAGUGGGGAAUAUUGGACAAUGGGCGCAAGCCUGAUCCAGCCAUGCCGCGUGAGUGAUGAAGGCCUUAGGGUUGUAAAGCUCUUUCACCGAUGAAGAUAAUGACGGUAGUCGGAGAAGAAGCCCCGGCUAACUUCGUGCCAGCCGCCGCGGUAACAC